rnacentral:snRNA from 1 species
GGAUGCGAGGGCAAUCUGGCUGCAACAUCUGUCAUGCCACUGAUUGCCAAGGUUGAUUCAGCUGAUCUGGAUGGCUAGGUGGGUGUGCCCUUCCUCUCUUAACCCUCCAUGUGCUUCACUCCCGAGGCUGCAGGCUAGAUGGAAGAGGAUGCCCCCUCUACCUCCCCGCCCCCCGUAGAGGAGGACCAUUCCUCUGUCAGGGAUACGUGAGUAGCUGCACUCCCCUGCUAGAAGCUCCAAAGAAGCUCUAUUUACAAUUUACCGAGUCUUCAACGACAAACAACAACACUCAGGAAGGAUUUGGAGGCAGAUUUAUUU